rnacentral:sRNA from 1 species
UCACUUGCAGCAGUAAAGUUGGUCUUACCUGUGGUCUUGGGCUNUAAGUCGCUCCUUGGGGCUUGGUUUCAGGUCUCAGUGAGGGCAGCAAUGAGAAGGGCCUGUCCCUACUUCUGGGUCCCUGUGGGCAGGGGACCCUGAUGGCCCUAGGUAUUUUCCUUUAGAGUCAGAAAUGUGGGCAGAGAGUAGUCUCCUCUGGUUUCCCAGGCAUGUCUCAUUAAAUUUAAUUCUAAUAAUAUUGGCCCAGUUUGAAAGACAGUUAAUAAUGGUGAUAGGGUUGCAUUCAAGGAUGUUCAAGCAAUCUGUAUAUAGUUGUUAUUAUCUACCUUCAAAGGUUGCCCUUGUUUCUUGAGACCAACAGAUCUAAGAAUGAUACAUUUUAGUGGUACAUCUCACUAUAGAAACUCCAUCUUUCAGACUGUUGAGCAUUCAUGGGAGGAAAAAGGAACUAAUGUGGAAAAUCACGUUCUGCCCACAAGUUAGUGAAGAUAAUCAUGGACUUAUCCUACACCGUAGUAAGCUGAAUACUUUGAAGACACUGCUGACUGACUUUGUCCUGUCUGAUAGUCAAGAUCUCUAUAGAUAGGCUGAGUGUAAGAUCUCAUUCUGCCUACUGGUUAUUUAAGAUCACUGACAAUUGGGCUGAGUGCAAACAGAGCUCCAUAGAACACUCCUAGGUUUGCAUAGGUCAGAGGUACUCCUUGGCAGUAUGUCCUUUCUCUCUCAACUUCUGUGCGUGUGGAAACAAAGGACCACUGAAGAAUAGGCAGUGCUAGAUGGAACAAGAAAUUCGCAUUUAUAACUGCAAAGGAAACCCACCACCUUGUCAGUUGACACAGACAGAAUGAUAAGCCAACAAUCUAGGUCACAAAAUAAGAUGUUGACUACAGAAUUCAAAGAGGUAUUCUCUGGCUACUUGUUACUAUUAAAAGGACCAAGUCUAUGGAAUCAUCAUAGAACAACUUCAUAUAUUUAAGUCACUACCACAACACACCUGCACAUUCCUAUGGAAUUUUGGGAUCAUUCCUAUCCUCCUGGAAUACCAGCUCCUUUCUCCAGUUUGGAACCUUUGUAAGGGGGAAACUGCCAUUGUUCAUCUAGAGAUAUGAAACUGCAUAGAGAUAUCUAGAGCAGCAGCACAUUUACAGGAGAUGUUGCACAUGUUGGGGUAAACUCUCUGACCUGGGUUUCCUGAACAUUCCUUGGUCAAAGAAGCUUCAUUUUGGGAUGGAGAGAUGGCUCAGCGGUUAAGAGCACCCGACUACUCUUC